rnacentral:misc_RNA from 1 species
AUUUUGUGCUCAUGCAUCUCUUAUUCCCAAACUGUACAGCGCUUGCUACUACUACAAGCAAAUUCGAACCUCCACUCCAGUCCCGCCAACUCCAGGUUCUGCUGCUGCUGCUUCACCUUCCAUUGGACCCGCCUCGCGACAUCAGCAGCUCAUCGCCUCGCACUUCACCGGAAUCGGCCGGUCGAACCCCCCUCGGGACAGCAGGGUGUCGCGGCAGAACACGAACGGUUGGCUCAAUGGUGUCGCUGCAGCCACUGCCGUUCUAGGCAUUGGAAUCGCUUCCGGCUUCGUGGUGACCACAACGUUGCCACCGUCUUUUCGAGUGGCAUUCUCUUGCACUGUUGCCACUUCUUCUUCUUGCUCUGCAAUGGCAGCCGCCGCGUCCUUGGCCCUCUGCCUCUCCGCGUCCAGCACCGCCGACAUGAUGCACGAGUAGCCCUUCUGCAGCAUCCGGUACAGGAACAGCGCCGACAUGCGCGCCUGGUCGCGCACGGCCUCCAGGUCGCGGUGUUCGUCCACGAGCUCAAGCCUCUCCGCGAACGACGCCGACCGCUCGGGCUUCAGCUUCAGCGUCAGCACCAGGUGCGCGCGCUCCAGCUCCGACCGCGUGCACCCGCGCCGCACCCCGAGGAGGGCGUAGUAGUCGACGCCGCACCCCUCGCCGGCGGCGACGCGGCCGCGGAGCAGCUGGAUGCGCGCCGUGAGCGUGCGGUGCGCGCCGGCGAUCUCCCCGAACUGGACGCCGCCCUGCGGCCGCAGCUUGCCGCCCCGGAGCGCGGCGUCGUACAGGAGCUUGAGGUGGUCCAGGUCCCGGAGGCAGUCCGGGAGCGCCCCGACCGACUCCAGCAGGUCGGCGCGCGCUCGCAGCGCCGGGAUGGAGGCCGGGUCCAGCGCCAGCGCGCGGUUGCAGUCCGCGAUGGCGUCCGCGGGGCGCCCCGCCGACCGGAACGCGGCGGCGCGGCCCACCAGGCAGGCCGUGGCGAAGGGGUGCGGCAGCACGCUGCGGCGCGUGUCCAGCACCUUGUUGAAAUGCCGCACUGCCUCGCCGGGGAGCCCGGCGUCCAGCGCCGCCACCGCCGCCGCGCGCCGCCGGAGGAGGAGCUUCACGUGCGCGAGCAGCUGCGACACGGACUCCGCCUCGGACGCUGCGGCGCUGUUGGCCGUCAGCGGGUUCGACGGCGAGAAGCUGUCCUCCGACCAGCACACGCUCUCGCGCCGGAACGCCGCGGUGGCGAGGCGGCGGGCGGUUUGGAGGAGCACCACCGCGUCUUCCAUCAGGCCGAGGUGGAAGCAGGCUCUGCCCAGGACCAGGUACCUCCACUGCGCCUCGGUGCUCGAGCUCCUGCAGAAGCUGGCGACGAGGCGGCGCUUGAGGUCGGACACGUGGAGGCAGCAGAGGAAGCGGGCGGCGCCGGCGCAGGCGUCGGAACGGUCGCGGUCCCCGGAGGCAGACGAGCAGGACGAGGAUGACGAGGCGCAGGUGGCGUCAUCGUCGCCCGAGCACGACCUGGCGUAACUGGGGAUGUAGUCGCGGAGCAUGUCGGCGACGUCGCGGUAGCGCCUGAGCGCGAGGAGCGCGCGCGCCCGGAGCUCCAGCGCCGCCUCGGCCCGCGGCGACAUCUCCAGGGCGGCCGUGACCAGGCCGAGCGCCGCCGCCGCCGCCGCCGCGUCGUCGGUGUCCUGCGCGGCCGCAGCGAGAGCCGCCCGCGCCUCGCUGAGGUACGUGUCGAACACCUGUCGCACAUGGACGCAUCGCCAUCAGAUUCCAUCCAACCACCAAACCGUACGAGGAGGAAAAGGACAACGAAAUAAAUCAAGCCGCGUCCUCGAACAAGUCAAACAGAAAGAAUGCAUCACACACACGGCACGGAAGAGCCAUCUGGAGACGAAAGGCGAGAGCGCCUGGUGGAUGGAAACAGCAAGAGUGGCACCUCGGGCUCUCCUCUCGCUCUCGGGAUUGCAAAGGCGAAAUCGGGGAGAGCAAUGCAAUACAAUGCAGGCACGAACCUUGUUGUUGCCUCUCAGCCAGUUAAUGCGUUUCUUGGCCGGAGCGGAGGAAGGGGACGGCGGCGCCAUUGCGUCCCGCCAGGCAUCAACAGCGGAUCAAAAAAAAGGGAAGAAGGGGGAGUUCUCCCCUCCGUCUGUGUCGUCUGGAGUAGAUUGGGCUGAGGGAUGAGUGUUUUUUUGUUGUUGUUGCUUUGAGCAGGCAGAGGCAGGUGUGCUGCUGCUGCAGUAUACUAACCCUAAUUCUUAAUAAAGGGAAAAAAAUAGAAGUGCAUUGCAUGGUAUUCACAUGUGGAGGGUAGUGUGAGCAUGGUCUUUCCAGCAGAGCAGAGCAGGAGCAGGAGCAGGAGCAUUAUCCAGCCUAAAGC